rnacentral:rRNA from 1 species
AUGAGGGAGUGCAUCUCGAUCCACAUCGGCCAGGCCGGCAUCCAGGUCGGGAACGCGUGCUGGGAGCUCUACUGCCUCGAGCAUGGCAUUCAGCCUGAUGGCCAGAUGCCCGGUGACAAGACCGUUGGGGGAGGUGAUGAUGCUUUCAACACCUUCUUCAGCGAGACUGGUGCUGGGAAGCACGUCCCCCGUGCUGUCUUCGUAGAUCUCGAGCCCACUGUGAUUGAUGAGGUGAGGACUGGCGCUUACCGCCAGCUCUUCCACCCUGAGCAGCUUAUCAGUGGCAAGGAGGAUGCAGCCAACAACUUCGCCCGUGGUCAUUACACCAUUGGCAAGGAGAUUGUUGAUCUCUGCCUUGAUCGUAUCAGGAAGCUUUCAGACAACUGCACUGGUCUGCAGGGAUUCCUUGUCUUCAACGCUGUUGGAGGUGGAACUGGCUCUGGCCUUGGUUCGCUUCUCCUGGAGCGUCUCUCUGUUGACUAUGGAAAGAAGUCCAAGCUUGGGUUCACAGUUUACCCAUCUCCCCAGGUCUCCACUUCUGUUGUUGAGCCAUACAACAGUGUCCUGUCCACCCACUCACUCCUUGAGCACACCGAUGUCUCUAUCCUUCUUGACAAUGAGGCCAUCUAUGACAUCUGCCGCCGCUCCCUUGACAUUGAGCGCCCAACAUACACCAACCUCAACAGGCUUGUUUCUCAGGUCAUUUCAUCAUUGACUGCUUCCCUGAGGUUUGAUGGUGCUCUGAAUGUUGAUGUCAACGAGUUCCAGACCAACCUGGUGCCCUACCCGAGGAUCCACUUCAUGCUUUCCUCCUAUGCCCCAGUGAUCUCAGCCGAGAAGGCCUACCAUGAGCAGCUGUCUGUUGCUGAGAUCACCAACAGCGCCUUUGAGCCUUCCUCCAUGAUGGCCAAGUGUGACCCCCGCCACGGCAAGUACAUGGCCUGCUGCCUCAUGUACCGUGGUGAUGUUGUGCCCAAGGAUGUCAACGCUGCUGUGGCCACCAUCAAGACCAAGCGCACUAUCCAGUUUGUUGACUGGUGCCCCACUGGCUUCAAGUGUGGUAUCAACUACCAGCCACCUGGUGUUGUCCCAGGCGGUGACCUUGCCAAGGUCCAGAGGGCUGUGUGCAUGAUCUCCAACUCCACCAGUGUCGUCGAGGUCUUCUCCCGCAUCGACCACAAGUUUGACCUGAUGUACGCCAAGCGCGCCUUCGUCCACUGGUACGUGGGUGAGGGCAUGGAGGAGGGAGAGUUCUCUGAGGCCCGUGAGGAUCUUGCUGCCCUGGAGAAGGACUAUGAAGAAGUUGGUGCUGAGUUUGACGAGGGUGAGGACGGUGACGAGGGCGACGAGUACUAG